GGGGAUGUUCUGGUUUUGACAGCAUCGACGUCGGGAAGUAAGCACGCCGGGCCAUGGGGUUAUGCCCGUUAAAACACACUCCAAACAACUAGCUGGCAACAGCAACUAUGCACUCGCUGCCUAAUCUGCCAAGCGGAUUAGCUUAAUGACGCCGCCUAGGUUGCGGCCUCACGAGUAUCCCUCCCGCUUCAGGGCGUCCAUGCCGGGGUCAAGGGGUAUCAUUCAGGAUGUCUGCUCGCGGGGACUCCCUUAAACCGCGCUAAGAUUUAGGGGAUAAGGUCCGGGUGGCCUGUCUUCCGGCAGCCCUCUCCCGACAAUCAAUGGAAGAAUAAGCGUGUAGAAAGCUUUUCGGUGCGUUGUUUGGACGGCGGUUCGACUCCGCCCAUCUCCAC
rnacentral:tmRNA from 1 species